CAUGCUGCCAAGAAGUCCCUGGAAGAUGCUUAGGAGAUGUCUCGGUUUUGAAAGACAGGUGUCUGCUAAGGAAGGCAGAAGCCCCCCUUGAAGUGGCAGAUAUAACCCCUUUUCCCUCCAAGUUAUUAUAUUUUGAAAUCAAGGGCCUUUAGGCAAAGAUGUGGGAAAUAGGAAUAACAGUUCUUUACUAUAUAUAUAUAUAUGUAUAUAACCAGUCAAACAAAACAACAACAACUAUGGCAGUAACAGCAAUCACAAACCCAGUGCCAGCCUUCUCGGCUGUCAGGCCCUUUCCCCUCGGGUGCAGUUCCGCUCGCAGCCGGCAGGGGCGCUGGCGGCUCCCGGUGAGCAGGGCAGGUGCGAUGGUUCCCCCGCGGCUGCAGGGGGCGCUCCGGAGCGAGCUCGGGACACACGCGGCACCGGUGCCCUGGGAUCCCGGGAAGGGAUGGAACAAAGGCUUCACAAACCGCUGGGCAGUUGAUCCCGGGCUCUCAGGAACAGCAGGCUGGAACGGCAGGGACGAACGCAAAUCCCGGGUGGCAGACGAGAUGUAUCCAGAUGGGAAAAACCCACGGAGGCCCAGGCAGGCAGGGCGAGCAGGGCUACAGCGUAGCGAAAGCUCGAAGCAGCAGCGGAGCAGGGCAGCCACAGCUCGGUCUCCAGCAGGGCAGGGAAAGCGGCUUUUGGGGUCCCGGCGUUGUUUCCAGCAGGAAGAAAGAACGGCCAAAAAGAAAGAAGCAGCAGCUCCUUUCUCUGCAGCUUCUCUCUCCGGACGCUCAGAGCGAACUGACCCCACACCCAGGUGUAGACAAAGGAGUAGCCAGGCCCGCCCCACCCCCCUUUUUGUCUUUCUUAAGUACAGCUAUUUGUCCUCUAGCAACAUGCAUAUGGGAGAAAAUUCCUUUAACAGGAAAAAAACUAAAACUAGACUAAAACCCCAACAGGAGAGCACCCCCCUGUACCACAGUUUGUGAGCAUUUUGUAAACCUUUCAUCCCUCAGAGAUGAGUGGG
rnacentral:lncRNA from 13 species